ensembl:misc_RNA Metazoa_SRP Metazoan signal recognition particle RNA
GUUUGCAUGGUGGUAUAUAUCUAUAAUUCCAGAUACUAGGAAGACUAAGCCUGGUGGAUCUAUUGAGUUUAGGAGUUCUAAGCUACAGUGGGCUAAACUGAUGGGAUUCCUUACUAUGUUCAGCAUGGAUAUGAUUCAUGCCCAGGAGUGGGGAGUCACUGGGUUACCUAAGGGGAAACAAACUGGCCCAGUUUAGAAAUGGAGCAGGUCAAAACUCCCCUGCAGAUUAGAGAAGGACCAAGUCCUUAAGCAGCCCCUGUGCUUCCUCCUGGGAGAUGUACAGAAACAGUCUUUA